CUCUAAUGUAGGUUGCCAAUAUAAUCGCGAUACUGCGUUUAUGAUUGUGUACAUUUAUAAUAUUCGUCGAUACCAAUCCAGCAAACACGUCACUAAGAAAAUAUGGUUGGUUUACAAAAGUAAUAACAAGGAUAACUUGAUGAAAUGUGGCUUGCUGUCUGAUUCUAUCCAUGACGGCGUUUCAGCACUAAACUAAAAUGGCCUGGAGAAAAUAUAUCGCCCGAAAAUCAAAUGGUCCAGUGCUACAAUGAUGAAAGUAUACACUGAAACAAAUGGAUGAUGUUCAUGAAGAUGAUGGCUUCUUCUACACAUCUGAAUCCUGCAGCGACUAAUCCUAAAUCCAAAUAGUCCCAGUCCCAGCUCAACUAUACCAACAUGGACAAGCAGACUCGUUCCUUAGAGAAGCUACCAAAAGCAGAAUCUCUAACACUGGAUUCUGCCUCCACAUCACUUAUCCCCAAGUCUGCGAGUGAUGAGCGAGUUCUGAUGGGGAUGGCACCACGACAACGCAACUUGGUGAGAAGCAAUGAAUCUUCCCAGUUGUCCCUGCACAGCAUGGUGUUGAUGACGGAGGUAGCUCCAGCCAACGGAAGCCUCAUCAGUGGUGAUGAUCAUUCCUGGAGAAUUCCGCUGUCAGCAUUUUCCGACAAGAAGGCUGUGAAUCAUGACCCAAACACGCGACUAACACGAAGAAUGAGGUCAUACUACAAGGCUCAGGAUGAGCUGAUCACGGCCUACGAGACACUGCAGCAGGAACAGCACAACACAGGGGGAGAGGAGUAUGGGCAGAAGACAGCGUCCAUCAUGUCCAAAAUCUCAUUUGCUGCAAAUUUUGUGCUUCUUGUGGCCAAGAUUGUGGCAGCAGCUCUGUCCAGCUCAAUCUCUAUCAUCUCCAGUUUGGUAGACUCGGUAGUAGACCUACUGUCUGGGAUUAUCAUCUGGUGGACGUCCAGCACGAUGAAGAAGAGAAACCCUCACUUGUACCCAAGUGGUCGAACAAAGUUGGAACCAGUGGCGAUAGUGAUAUUAUCCGUUGUGAUGUCUCUAGCAUCGCUGCAGUUGACCAUCGAGUCCAUACAGAAAAUCAUAUCUCUGGCCAAUCAGGAUGGAGCUGUCCCACAAUUUGAUGUUGUCACAAUAGUUAUUGCAGCAAGCACAGUCGUGAUAAAACUGGCGUUGUUCAUCAUGUGCUACAUCUAUCGGCGUCACGGUAGUUCGGUUGCUGUUCUCAUGCAGGAUCAUCGGAACGACGUCGUCUCCAACACAGUCGCCAUCGUCUGCGGAUAUCUUGGAUCAGCUCAGUUUAUGGGGAUUGUACAGAACAAGAAUGUGGUGUUCAUCGACCCCAUCGGUGCCAUCAUCAUUGGUUUCUUCAUCUUCGUCAGCUGGUGGAGGACAGGAGCGGAGCAAAUCAAACUGCUAACUGGACACACAGCUAAGCCAGACUUCUUGAGCAAGCUGACCUGGAUUUCUCUGAAUCAUCAUAGAGAGAUCACGCACAUCGACACAGUGAGGGCGUUCCACUUUGGCAACAACUACUUGGUGGAAGUGGACAUCGUGUUGCCGGAGACGAUGACGUUGGGGGAGGCUCACAACAUCGGGGAGUCCCUGCAGCAGCGUCUGGAGAACCUCGACAGGGUGGAGCGAGCCUUCGUACACCUCGACUUCGAGACCACACACAGACCCGAGGAGGAACAUAAGACUGUUUAGAACAGUUGGUGGUGUAGGACUUGAUGAUUAGAGGAAGGUUGCCAGGUGUUGUUGGACUUGAUGAUUAGAGGAAGGUUGUCAGAUGGUGUUGGACUUGAUGAUUAGAGGAAGGUUGUCAGAUGGUGUUGGACUUGAUGAUUAGAGGAAGGUUGUCAGAUGGUGUUGGACUUGAUGAUUAGAGGAAGGUUGCCAGGUGUUGUUGGACUUGAUGAUUAGAGGAAGGUUGUCAGAUGGUGUUGGACUUGAUGAUUAGAGGAAGGUUGCCAGGUGGUGUAGGACUUGAUGAUUAGAGGAAGGUUGUCAGAUGGUGUUGGACUUGAUGAUUAGAGGAAGGUUGUCAGAUGGUGUUGGACUUGAUGAUUAGAGGAAGGUUGCCAGGUGUUGUUGGACUUGAUGAUUAGAGGAAGGUUGUCAGAUGGUGUUGGACUUGAUUUUAGGAAA
rnacentral:misc_RNA from 1 species